UUAUUUGUGUUACCGGGUCAAUAUCUUUCCCAACUUUUGUUUCAUUAAAAAAGAAAACCUCUUCUCUCGAUCUCUCGAGCUCUACCAGUCUCUCUACCGCCCCUCUCAAUCUGAAAAGCAAGAGGGUGAAAGCUCGUCGACGUAGGCGCUGUGGAACUGGAUACAAGAUUUGUACCUGAAGAAGCUAUGGCAUCAACCUACUCUUGAGCUAGAAAGUUCAUUUCUCUCACAAUUUUCCAGAGAGAUCCUUUGAGGAUUUUCUAUGAGACAUUGUAUUAGCAAGUGGCCACCAGUGAACUGCCUGCAAUUUGGUGAGCAUUUUUUCAUUUCUAUUUAAGAAAUUUGUGUUUAUUAGUUUAUACUGUAAUAUGAGAUUGAAGAGAGGAAGAUUAGAAAUUUAGAACAGACUGAACGUUUAUGGUGUGUAAGUAGGCUUUUCAGAAGAAGGGAUGUACUAAUAAGGAAAGGGGUAAUCUUUUCCAGUUGUCGAAUCUCCCUCAUUAUGCUUGCACGAAAUUAUCAACUUUCAUAGAACUUGCAAUUUGUAAUUUUAGAGUUUAUGAUUCUUGUAUGGUUCUUGCCAAAGUCUAUGAGUUUAUGGUUGGGAAAAGAUGUCCAAUAGUAAACCUUUACAUACUUCAAUGGCCAACCUUUGCAUAUUCCAAGGAUUCUCCUGCUUGAGGGCUCAGGGGAUUAUAGUGACUUAGUUCCUGUAAUGUUUAUGGAUUAGGUUACUUUGCCAGCUUCGUUAAUGUAUUCCAGACUUGAGAAAUCAAUUUUACAUUAGUAUUUGUUGUUAGUUUACUUAUUCGAGGAAACCUUAGCUGCGAAGUAUUAGAUUAAAAGAUUGGCAGAGUAGGUGUUUUACUAUAUUGUACACCGUAGGUUCUUAUCCUAGAUUUAUAUCAUUUAACAAUGUCAUGAGCACCACUGUUGAGAUAACUUGUUAGUGGUGUUUGUUAUUCUGUCUUCUGUCUUUUGAUCUCUGAUCUACUGUUCUUUUUCUUGUUUGAGUCUAAAUAUUCUACAUAUUGGAUAAUUUCUUCCACCUUAUGCAAUCAGAAGCCUUUUAUCAUCAUCAGUAGUGCAAUUCUCAGCAUUGUAUACAAAUGCUAGGUGUGGUUGCUUGUUUCUUGUUAAGUGGUUUUGAUUGCCUUCUUUACACCGAACUCUUAAUUAGAGUCAAAUUCGUCACAACUGUUUAUAUAUAUAUAUAUAUAUAUAUAUAUAUAUAUAUAUAUAUAGGGGAGGGAUCCGGUGAGAACACCUCCUUAUGUGAGAACACUUCUUAUGGUGAGAACACUUUUACACUCUCUAUGUUCUAUAUUUGUUCAACAAUGUUCUAAAUUUUCAAACUCAUGUUCUAAAUUUAUUCAACCAUGUUCUAAAUUUAUUCAAGCAUGUUUUAAUUUUAUUCAACCAUGUUCUAAAUUUUUAACCUCAUGUUCUAGAUUAAUUCAAGCAUGUUCUAAAAUUAUUCAACCAUGUUCUAAAUUUUUAACCUCAUGUUCUAGAUUAAUUCAAGCAUGUUCUAAAAUUAUUCAACCAUGUUCUAAAUUUGUAAGCUCGUGUUCUAAAUUUAUUUAAGCAUGUUCUAAAUUUAUUCAAGCAUGUUCUAAAUUUAUUCAAACAUGUUCUAAAUUUAUUCAACGAUAUAUAUAUAUAUAUAUAUAUAUAUAUAUAUAUAUAUAUAUAUAUAUAUAUAUAUAUAUAUAUAUAUAUAUAUAUACACUCUUAUCUGAUUCCCUUUAAUGCAACUUUUUAGUUUGCUUAAACUUCCCAAGUAUCCCUAGAGAAGAUUACAUUUUGGGAUUUGAGUUCUAAGCAGUUGACUAAGAACCUCACCCUCCCUCAUUUCUUUUUAUUUCGUAGUUGCAUACUUCAGUUGACCUACUGUUUAAAAUAAGGGAACACAAAUGGGAAUUUAUUAAAUUUAUAUGCAUCCUGAAAAAACAAACCAAAAUGUAAUUAUUUUUUUUAUAUGUUCUUUGAAGAUCUUGGAGCUAGUAUCUCUUAUUUGCAGAUAUUUCGGGUUCCUUAUCCUAUCAUUUAGGAGACAGGAAUGUGAUUUCAGAUCAAUUGUCAGAUGCGGAUCGGAUGCCUUAUUCCUCAAAAUAGGUUUUUAUUCAAAGAUGGUUACACGAACAUCUUCUAUGCCUUAAUAGAUUGAUAAAUUUGUAAAUGAAUUGGUUUUGCUAUCUGAUUGUUUCGAAUGUUCGUGCAGCUGCUGCUUUACAGGCCUUAACAGGAAGCUAGGUUGAAUUUACCGCCGAGCUGGAAUACUGGAGAUCCUUGUAGCAACAGCUGGGAAGGAAUUACCUAUAGAAAUUCUCGUUUGUUGGCAUAACAUUGGCAAAUAUGGAUUUGAUUGGUCAGUUGUCUGGAGAUCUUGCAACUUUGUCAGAACUCCGGAUUCUGUAGGUUUUGAUAUUCCACUUACCUGAUAUGAUGCAAUUGAAUUAGCAAAAGUUUGUGAAGCUUCUUCUCUCUAUACAACUCGUUGGGGUUUGAAGAUUUGACAAUUACUGGAUUAGAAGGUGGAAGAAUUUCUUGCGAAUUUGAUCGAUUCAGUACAUGUCAGUUAAAUAGCAGAUCUUCAUAGCAGAUUUUCGAUGUCUACUGCUGCCUGCAUGUUUUUGAAUUUUGUUGAAGUACAUAUAUUUUCUCCAAACCCGUACACUCAAGAGGAGAUCAAUGAUGUUCGAGAAAAAUGGAGUAGAUAUUUUAUUAGAAGUUGUUUGUAGUCAUUUUCUAGUUUUCAGAGAUAGAAAUUAGGUUAUUUUUUGGAAUACAAUUAUUUACAAUUGUACGUUGAACCAACUUUCUUGUUUGAAUUAAUACAAAAAUAUUUUCGCAAUUCUGCAAAUCUCAGCUCUAUUUAUUAUUAUUUUGAAUUUAUUACGUACGUAGAAAUAAUUUAAAUUAGCGAGAACAAAAUUAAAAAAAACUAAAAACAUAAUACACACUUUUAGGUGUCGCCUCCUAUAAUUACAUGUGACUCCUUAUGGUUAAUUAAUAUAUAUUUUUUUUUAAAUAAUACUUUCGGUGUCGCCUUUUGGUAUAAUAGGCGACUCAAAAUGGGUAAAAACUUUUAAAAAAUAAUUCGGAAAAUACUUUUUGUAUCGCCUGUAACAUUAAGAGGCGACUCUAAAGGUAAUUGGCUUAAUAAAAAUAAUUGUGCAAAACAUCUUUCGUGUCGCCUCUUAGUAUAUUAGGCGACUCGAUUAUUAACAAAUUUAAUAAAAAUGUUCGAAAAAAUUAGAGGCGACUCGAUUAUUAACAAACUUCAGAAAGAAGGAAUUCUAGAACCAUUUGACUUUAGUGGAUUUUGGUAAAUGCGAAUCAUGCUUACUUAGGAAAAUGACAAAGCAACCUUUCUCUAAAGUUGGACAAAGAGUAAAUGAUCCAUUGGGAUUAAUCCAUACAGAUGUAUGUGGAUCAAUGAGUUCAAAUGCUAGAGGUGGUUUCAGCUACUUUAUCACUUUUACUGAUGACUUCAGUAGAUAUCGUUAUGUCUACCUAAUGAAGCAUAAGUAUGAGUCCUUUGACAAAUUCAAGGAACUUUAGAGUGAAGUAGAGAAUCAACUAGUCAAGAAGAUUAAAGCACUGCGGUCUGAUAGAGGCGGUGAAUAUCUGAGCUAUGAAUUUACUGACCAUCUGAAAGAUUGUGGAAUCUUGUCAGAAUUGACUCCUCCUGGGACACCUCAAUGGAAUGGUGUGUCAGAACGGAGGAACAGGACCUUGCUAGACAUGGUUUGAUCAAUGAUGGGUCAGGCCGAGCUUCCAAUAGAAUUUUGGGGACAUGCACUAAACACAGCUGCACUCACACUAAAUAAAGCUCCGUCUAAAGUUGUCGAAAAGACUCCAUAUGAGUUAUGGUUUGGAAAGCCUCCAAAAGUGUAUUUUCUUAAGAUUUGGGGUUGUGAAGUAUACGUCAAACGAUUAAUUUCAGACAAACAUCAAGAAAUUUGACAAAUGUAUCCUUGUGGGCUACCCAAAGGUAACAAAGGGGUAUUACUUCUAAAAUACAUCUGAGAACAAGGUGUUUGUUUCUCGAGAUGGUAUCUUUUUGGAAAUUAAUCACAUUUCCAAAAUGACAAGUGGGAGAAAAGUAGACCUCGGAGAAAUUCGAGUCGAACAACAAACUCUAGAGAAUGCUCAAGAUGACAUUCAGGAUGAAGCUCAGAGAUCUUUAGAAGUAUCUGGUGAGAAUCAAGGACCAUCUAGAAAUGUAACCCCGCGGAGAUCGCAGAGAUAUAGAUCUCGACAGGAAAGGUACUUAGGUAUUUUGACGAACGAGAGCUAUGAAGUUCUAUUACUUGAAAGUGAUGAACUCACGACUUACAAACAAGCUAUGACGAGCCCUAACUCCAAGCAAUGGAAAUAAGCCAUGCAAUCUAAAUUAGACUCCAUGUCUGAAAACCAAGUUUGUGAUUUGGUCGAUUUGUCAGAUGGCUACCAAGCCAUAGGAAGCAAAUGGGUUUUCAAACUGAAAAAGGACAAGGAUGGGAAACUAGAAGUUUUCAAAGCUAGAUUGGUUGCAAAAGGUUACAGGCAAGUCCACGGUGUGGAUUACGAUGAAACCUUUUCACCAGUUGCAAUGCUAAAGUCUAAUCGGAUAAUGUUAGCAAUCGCUGCAUAUUACGAUUACGAAUAUGGCAGAUGGAUGUUAAAACCGCUUUCUUAAAGGACAUUUUAACAGAAACUGUGUUUAUGACACAGCCUGAGGGUUUUGAGGAUCCAAAGAAUGCUAAAAAGGUAUGCAAGCUUAAGAAAUCAAUCUACGGAUUGAAGCAAGCAUCAAGGAGCUGGAAUAUACGUUUUGAUGAAGCAGUCAGUGACUUUGGUUUCAUCAAGAACGCAGACGAAUCUUGUGUAUACAAGAAGGUCAGUGGGAGCAAAAUUGCUUUUCUAGUAUUAUAUGUCGACGACAUAUUACUUAUCGGAAAUGACAUUCCUAUGUUAAACUCUGUCAAGAUUUGGCUUGGGAAAUGUUUUUUGAAGAAGGACCUAGGAGAAGCACAGUACAUACUGGGCAUCAAGAUUUACAGAGAUAGAUCUAAGAAGAUGAUUGGACUCAGUCAACGCACUUAUAUCAAUAAGGUGCUUGAAAGGUUCAAAAUGGCUGACUCCAAGCGAGGCUACCUACCCAUGUCUCAUGGAAUGAAUCUAAGCAAGACUUAGUGCCCAAAAACACUAGAUGAGCGAAGACGAAUGAGUGGGAUUCCAUAUGCAUCAUUGAUUGGUCCAAUAAUAUAUGCUAUGAUAUGUACACGCCCGGAUGUUGCGUACGCACUCAGUUCUACGAGUAGAUACCAGUCAGACCCAGCAGAGGCACAUUCGACUGCUGCCAAGAACAUUCCGAAGUACCUGAAAAAGGCAUAAAGAUGAUUUCCUGGUCUAUGGUGGAGAUGAUGAAUUAAUUGUUAAAGGCUAUACGGACACAAGUUUCUAAAACGACAAAGAUGAUUUCAGAUCACAGUCUGGGUUUGUCUUCUGCCUCAACGGAGGAGCAGUAAGCUGGAAAAGUGCCAGGCAAAGCACUAUUGCGGAUUCUACAACUGAAGCGGAUUACAUUGCUGCACAUGAAGCAGCAAAGGAAGAAAUUUGGAUAAGGAAGUUCAUGGGUGAGCUUGGUGUGGUCCCCUCCAUUAAAGGACCAGUAGCUCUAUAUUAUGACAAUAAUGGAGCUAUUACACAUGCGAAGGAGCUUAGACACCACCAAAGAGUCAAACAUGUACUUCGUAGAUUUCACCUUCUACGAGAAUUCACUAGAGGAAAAAACAUCAUAAGUUGCCCUUUAAAAGUUGCUCUAAUUUGACAAGUGCAUCUUUUGACAAAAAAAAUGUUAAAAAAAAUCAAAAAUUAAAUCAUUUCCCUCCUUUUCGUGGGAAGCGCAUCUCUUAGACCUAAGAUGCUCCCUCCUUCCUCGCUGCUCCCUUUGCUCCCUCCUUCCUCGCUGCUCCUCUAAACCCAAACAACUUCUCCCGGCGAUGCCUCUGGUCAACUUCACCGAUCUCCUCUCCUCUCUUCUCUUCAGCGCCGUCGCGCUGUGACCACCGCUCCCACACCGCCUGUUGCUGUUACGCCUGAUGGAACUACUGAUAAUCCCGCUCCUCCUUUCCCUAUUGACUCCAAAAUUCAGCAGCUUACUCAGGAAGAGAAUGUGAGUAUCGACAUAGUGAAUAUGCUCGGAUGAACCCGACAGAUUUUUUGUACUGGAUGAAUGGAAACUGCUUGAAUCCAAAAUGCUCAUUAGCCAUACUAAGAGCUGCUUGGUUGGUUUCAUGUUCCCAGACAAUCGAUGCAAGUCCUGCUAAGUGCCGAGUUGCAAAACAUUUGAACUGAUGUGAAAAUUGAGUACUGCAGUGGAGUUCAACAUACAGAGGAUAUCGUUUGAAGAAGGGCAUGCUGUUGAGACUCUUGAAGAAGCCAAAUCUGCUCUCCAGCAAUUGAUAAAGAAUGGUCAGAUUUACAAUUUUCAGAAAUGAACAGAGUGAAAACUUUCUGAUCUAUUAACUAUCGUGACUAUGGCGGCGUUAUAGACGGAGGUUUUCAAAACUCCAAGGGAGGGGCCUUUUACCAAAGAGGAGUUGGAUGAAGUUCGAGACAAGUGGGCUACGUACUUCAACGAUUGUGAAAUACCUUCAGUGUAAUAAAUAGAGCAGGCUUAUAGUUAUGCGUGACUCUUACAUUAUUUUGUUAUUUAUCGAUUUAAUUAAUUACAUUUGAAUUAAUUCAGUAAUAUAUAUUAUUGGAAAUUUGAAAUUCAUAUCAUUUUUGAGGAAUGUCAAGCUGAUGUUUGAUGAAA